GAACGCUGGCGGCGUGCUUAACACAUGCAAGUCGAACGGUGAUGAGGGGCUUGCUCCUCUGAUCAGUGGCGAACGGGUGAGUAACACGUGAGUAACCUGCCCUCCACUCUGGGAUAACGCUGGGAAACCGGUGCUAAUACUGGAUAUGACCUGCUCUCGCAUGGGAUGUGGGUGGAAAGAUUUAUUGGUGGGGGAUGGACUCGCGGCCUAUCAGCUUGUUGGUGAGGUAAUGGCUCACCAAGGCGACGACGGGUAGCCGGCCUGAGAGGGCGAUCGGCCACACUGGGACUGAGACACGGCCCAGACUCCUACGGGAGGCAGCAGUGGGGAAUAUUGCACAAUGGGCGAAAGCCUGAUGCAGCGACGCCGCGUGAGGGAUGAAGGCCUUCGGGUUGUAAACCUCUUUCAGCAGGGAAGAAGCGAGAGUGACGGUACCUGCAGAAGAAGCACCGGCUAACUACGUGCCAGCAGCCGCGGUAAUACGUAGGGUGCAAGCGUUGUCCGGAAUUAUUGGGCGUAAAGAGCUUGUAGGCGGUUUGUCGCGUCUGCUGUGAAAUUUCGGGGCUCAACCCCGAACUUGCAGUGGGUACGGGCAGACUAGAGUGUGGUAGGGGAGACUGGAAUUCCUGGUGUAGCGGUGAAAUGCGCAGAUAUCAGGAGGAACACCGAUGGCGAAGGCAGGUCUCUGGGCCACUACUGACGCUGAGAAGCGAAAGCAUGGGGAGCGAACAGGAUUAGAUACCCUGGUAGUCCAUGCCGUAAACGUUGGGAACUAGGUGUGGGCCUCAUUCCACGAGGUCCGUGCCGCAGCUAACGCAUUAAGUUCCCC
rnacentral:rRNA from 1 species